rnacentral:rRNA from 1 species
UACGGAGGGGGCUAGCGUUGUUCGGAAUUACUGGGCGUAAAGCGCACGCAGGUGGCUGAGUCAGUCGAUUGUGAAAGCCCUGGGCUUAACCUGGGAAUUGCAGUCGAUACUACUCAGCUAGAGUAUGGGAGAGGGUAGUGGAAUUCCCGGUGUAGCGGUGAAAUGCGUAGAUAUCGGGAGGAACAUCUGUGGCGAAGGCGACACCCUGGACCAGCACUGACACUGAGGCACGAAAGCGUGGGGAGCAAACAGG